rnacentral:ribozyme from 1 species
UGUCUAGUAACUCCUAUCCCUACCUUCCCGUGGUGCCGCCUGGGGUACGAGAAACCGGAAGGAAGAUCGGGUAGCCAACCCCGGUGGGACCUUGGUCGUAUGCUGCCCGGGAAGG